CCCCCGAUAGCUCAGUUGGAAGAGCGCGAGACUGUAAUGGAUAGGAAAGAUCAUCUUGAGGUCGCUGGUUCGAUCCCGGCUCGGGGGA
rnacentral:tRNA from 1 species